AGAGUUUGAUCCUGGCUCAGAUUGAACGCUGGCGGCAUGCUUUACACAUGCAAGUCGAACGGCAGCACGGGGGCAACCCUGGUGGCGAGUGGCGAACGGGUGAGUAAUGCAUCGGAACGUAUCCUGGAGUGGGGGAUAACGUAGCGAAAGUUACGCUAAUACCGCAUACGCUCGGGAGAGGAAAGCGGGGGACCGCAAGGCCUCGCGCUUCAGGGGCGGCCGAUGUCCGAUUAGCUAGUUGGUGGGGUAAAGGCCUACCAAGGCGACGAUCGGUAGCUGGUCUGAGAGGAUGAUCAGCCACACUGGGACUGAGACACGGCCCAGACUCCUACGGGAGGCAGCAGUGGGGAAUUUUGGACAAUGGGGGCAACCCUGAUCCAGCCAUGCCGCGUGCGGGAAGAAGGCCUUCGGGUUGUAAACCGCUUUAGUCCGGGAAAAAGGGAUGGCGUGCUAAUACCACGUUGUUUUGAUGGUACCGGAAGAAUAAG
rnacentral:rRNA from 1 species